rfam:Candidatus Peregrinibacteria bacterium CG1_02_54_53 cg1_0.2_scaffold_811_c, whole genome shotgun sequence.
GGGGCUGUAGCUCAGUUGGUAGAGCACCUGCUUUGCAAGCAGGGGGUCAGGAGUUCGAAUCUCCUCAGCUCCA